rnacentral:rRNA from 1 species
UACGGAGGGAGCUAGCGUUAUUCGGAAUUACUGGGCGUAAAGCGCACGUAGGCGGCUUUGUAAGUAAGAGGUGAAAGCCCAGAGCUCAACUCUGGAAUUGCCUUUUAGACUGCAUCGCUUGAAUCAUGGAGAGGUCAGUGGAAUUCCGAGUGUAGAGGUGAAAUUCGUAGAUAUUCGGAAGAACACCAGUGGCGAAGGCAGCGAACUGGCGCUCGAUUGACGCUCAGGCACGAAAGCAUGGGGAUCAAACAGG